CCCAUUCUUCCUACCGCUGGCCCUGGGAGCUGCCAUUCUACUUUCCAACUCUAUGAAUUUGACUAGUCAAGGCACCACAUGGACAUCCUUCCUGAUUGGAGGAAGACCAUUUUUUAAGACAAAAUAAUAUGAGUUGCUGCUCUCUUCUGCGAGGACCUAUACCAGAGUUAACAUGAAAGCUUCACAUGUGAGAUAAAUGCACUCAAAGACUCCUCACAAGUAGCUCUUUGGAGCUUCAGAUGUGAAAUGGAUCAUUCCUCAAGCUGUAAUAGACCCUUUGGUGAAGCUCUUCAAUCAAACCUGAGAAUUCAAGACGUUUUGUAGCAUCCUAAACAGAAGGAUAUUGAAGGGAGCUGAUUCUGCUUUGAUCCUUGUGCUUGUUGUCAAAGCGCUUGGGAUUGAAGAGACUGUUGGCUACAAUUGACUGUGACAAUUAGGAGAUGAUCAGAGCCCUAGAGUGGAGCACUUAAAGGGUUUGCAUUUAAAACACUCUUGGAGCACUAAUUGUAUAAAAUUCUGGUAACUGCACAUUCUCUUUUUAGAGGUGUAAUGAGUGAAUGAAUGAAAAGCCAGGGAUUAUUUGCCAUUCUAAGUGAGAAUUAUCAGAACAUUUCUGCUUGACUGAAAUUGUUUUGGAAGGUGAGCUGGAAUAAGAAUCUUGCAACUAAAAUGAAGUGACUCUGCAUGUGGUUCUUGGAUGCUUCUCUUCAUCAAAGUACUCUGCAGAAAUGUUCUGAGGCUUCCAAGUUGAUUUAAAUUUUAUUUAUGAGAGAGUUUUUAGGUGAAUCAAAUGAAAACAUUUUAAAGUACUCAUAUUUGACUCUUAGCAAGUAAAUAGGAGUCUUUGAAAGCUCAUUUGGAAUUAUUUGAAAUGAGUUUUCCUAUUAUCAUCAUGGUGUUUCUUUUUUCCAAUAUACAAAUUGCCAUGUUGUGGCAAAAUAAAUUUUUGAAAUGCUUUGAAAAGUUUUCAGAAAUGUGUCCAAGGAAACAAUAUGUAAAUUGUUAGAGUUAAUUCACAUGUCAAUUUAUCAAAAUGUUGCUUCUACUGAAAAGUCCUAGAACCUUUAGCACAGCAUUCCAGAACAUUACUGCCUUGUUUAAACGAGCAGCUCUUUCUUUGUCUUUGAUGGUGACACUAGAGUUACCAGGUUUAACAAAUAAAAUUAAUGAAUUCCUGUUAGGUUUGAAUUUCUGAUGAACAAUGAAUACAUUUUUAGUGUAACUAUGUCCCAUCAGUAUUUGCGUUUUAUCUGGCAACCCUAAGGUGGCACUCUAUAUGGACAGACAUUCCAACUGUACAUUGAGUGGACAAUUUAAUUAUUUAUACAUGAUAAAUUGUCAUUUAUAAAUCAUUUUACCUUUCACUGUCAGACUAGGGCAAGGAACUUGCUCUUUUAGAUCGAAACCAAUGGACUUUUUAACUCAUCAAUGCUAAGUUUAAUUUCCCCCCUCAUUUUCCCAGGGCAAGUUGUGACUUGUCAUUUCAAGCAUAUAGUAAUUUCUGCUUGACUAAUAUAAUGGAGACUUCAGAGAAGGUGGCUGAGGAGUCUGGUUUACCCACAUUGAUCAGGCUCUGACUGGAGUGCGUGGUGGUACAGGAACAAAGAACUGAAUGAUGCAAUGGGGCAUAUUAUCUUUCUGAAGCCCUAUCUUUCCUUUUGUGUCAGUAUUGUGACUACGUAUACAUAUAUUACAGACCCUCCCCAGGCGGUCCCUAUCAAGAAUGCUUCUGCCCAGUGUCAUUCAGCCAAUAGACCAAAUUCAGAAGCAAAGGAACGCCUUAUUCUUGGAUGGGAGAAUGACAAGUCUGAGUGGCCCCUUAAGAGCACAGGCUUUCCUUAUCAGGCCUGGGUGGGGCUGCUUUCACUGGGUUCUCAGUGGGGAGGACAGGGAGGGAUGGGCGGAGUUCUCCCAGCUCGGGCUCAGCUGUGCCCAUCAGGCUCAGCUGUGCCCAUCAGGCUCAAGCACCGCUGCACCUGGCCUGCCGCCAUCUUGAACUGAGUCGUGAGCGGUUCCUCCGCACCCUUUCUCAGAGCUGAGGUUUCAGCACAGUCAUUUAGCUCUAGGAACCCUGGUCUGAGCUGCUGGGGCCUCUGUACACGUACACCUAUGAGAAGUAAAACUAGACUGAGGACAAAGGAAAAGGUUAGAUUUUAUUUCAUUACCUUCUGUUUUUAUUUCCUGGUGACACACAUGUGUAUACAUAUAUGUAUAUGACCAAGUUGGAAGUCCUUGUAAUUUUUGAUUCUGGUAGGAUCUCCCUGAAGGGAAAGAUUCUAGAAAGAUUCUAUGUUUUUGCACUUUUAUUUAACUUGGUUUACCAUAAUCUAGUUGCCAUGAAAAGAGCUAAACUGAAACUUACAGAAAACCAGAUAUCUGAUUUCUCUUUGGGGCCAGCAUUCAUUUUUGCUAGUAUCAUUUCUGUCAUAGUGAGUUCAGGCUGCUAUGACAAACUUCCAUAGACUGUGUGAUUUAUAAGCAAGAAUUUGUUUUUCACAGUUCUGGAGGCUAGAAGUCAGAGAUGAGAACACCAGCUUGGUCAGCUUUUGGUGACGGCUCUCAUCCAGGCAUCCAGGUGGCCGUCUGUGUCUUUUCCAGCUAGAAAGUAGAGCUCUGGUCUAUUUAGUCCCUUGUAAAGGCACUAAUCCUGUUCACGAGGAUGCCACUCUCAUCCCAACCACCUCUCAAAGGCUCUACCACCACAUUGGGGGUUUUGGUUUCAACACAUGGAUUUUGGGGGAACAUUUGGUCCAUAACAGUUUCUUACCGUCUUGAUGCAUUUUAUGGUCUGUGAGGACUAUUUAUAGCCGAAAUGUUUAGAAUCCUGUUUUCCAUCCCCUUAGGUGCCUUCUGACUUCAGCCAUAGCAUCAGGUGAAAUCAGAAGCUCCUUACCAGCCCAGACCUCCAGAAUAUUUGUUAAGUCUUCCCAAUUUCUGCCUCAGAGUGUUGUCCAGAAAUGUAGAAGCUUGUUUAAUGCUUCCUCAAGCUCAGCAUAGAAAGGUGGGGGAAGUUAACACCCUCAAGGGCAGUUCUCAAUCCAUGAGAGACAGACAUCUCUGGAAAAUAUUCCAGCUACCUAUCUUUUAGGCAGCCAGUUCUGAAAGGCACCCAGCAUGCUUCCCAGAGGUUCCAUCUUCAAGAGAAGGGAUCUUAUGUCUCCCCCUGGUAUAUUAUUUGGCUUUUCCCUCAGCUCUGCUUCAUCUUCUCCAUUUCCUCAUCAUUGCUAGGAAUAACCAGCAUGCAUCCAAUUCCUUGUCUCAAUAUCUACUUUCAGAAAUGCUCUAUCUAAGACACUCCUGAUAUUUCUCUUCUCCCAGAACCACAGUUCUCUCUUUGCUCUAGGUUCAGAAAUUUUGCUUUCUUUGGUUCCAUCAAGGCUUACUUUUCAUACCGUCACACUUGGUUAGCAAGCACACAUGCGCAUUCAAAUCACUGGAACUCUCCUUUACAGUAAAAACCCCUUUUUGUCAAACGCUCACUACAUGUAAGGGCUUAUGCUAAGGGAUCCAUGAGUAUUGUUUCAUUUAGUCCUCAGCAUGUCACCAAGAAUGGAUCAGUAUUUCUAUUUUACAAAUGAAGAAAAUGAGGCUCAAAAAAAAUUAAGGGAUUUCUUUCAAGACCACAAAGAAGCUAGUGAGUGGUAGAAGAAGCCUUGGGUUCUGAACUAUCUGACCCCCAAACCCAUUCUUUUUUCUUUUCAUUGAGAUAUAAUUGACACAUAACAUUCUGUUAGUUUCAGGUUUACAACAUAAUUUCACACUUUUGUACACUGUGAAAUGUUCACAAUCUAAUCACUGUAAAUCACCAUAAAUAAUUACAAAACAUUUUCUUCCUAUGAUAAGAACUUUCAAGAUUUACUUUCUCAGGAACCUUUGAAUAUACUCUACAAUACCUAUAGUCACCGCAGUACACACCACAUCUCCAUGACCUAUUUGUUUCACAGCUGGAAGUCUAUACCUCUGUCUCCUUCACUCAUUUUUCUCACUUCCAACACCCCUCCACCCUGGCAAUCACUACUCUCUUAUAAUCCCAUAUCUGUUUCAUUUGUUUUGUAUUUUAUCUUCCAUAUAAGGGUGAGAUUAUACAGUAUUUGUCUUUCCCUGACUUAUUUCACUAAGCAUAAUACCUUUAAGGUCUAUUCAUGUUGCAGAUGGCAAGAUUUUAUUCUUUUUUUAUGGGAGAUUAGUAUUCCAUUGUGUGUGUGUGUGUGUGUAUGUGUGUACACCCAAAUACUGUUUUUGUUUUCUUUGGAUAAAUACCCAAAGAAGUGGAAUUGUAUCAUAUUGUAAUUCUAUUUUUGAUUUUUUGAGGACGCUCCAUACUGUUUUUCAUAAUGACUGCACCAAUUUACCUUCCCAUAACAGUGCACGAGGGUUCCCUUUUCUCCACAUCCUUGCUAAAACUUGUUAUUCUUUUGUUUUUAAGAAUAGUCAUUCUAAUUAUGUGUGAGGUGAUAUCUCAUUGUGGUUUUACUUUGUAUUUCCUUGAUGGUUAGUGAUGUUAAACAUCUUUUUAUGUUUCUGGUGGCCAUCUGAAUGUUUCCUCUGGAAAAAUUUCAGAUUUUCUGUCCAUUUUUAAAAUGGAUUGUUUAUCUUUAUGCUAUUUGUAUUAUAUGCUAUUUGUAUUAUAUGAGUUCUUUAUAUAUUUUGAUUAGUAACCCCAUCAGGUAUAUGAUUUACAGAUAUCUUCUCUCAUUUCAAUAGACUGCUUUUUUUUUGAUGAUAGUUUUCUUUUUUGUUUGAUAUGUCCUAAUUCUUUAUUUUUGCUUUUGUUGCCUUUGCUUUUGGAGUCAUAAAUAAAAAAAUGCUAAGACCUA
rnacentral:lncRNA from 1 species